GAGGGUAGAGCUCAGCUGUAGAGCACCUGCUUAGCAUGCACGAGGUCCUAGAUUCAAUCCCCAGUGCCUCCA
rnacentral:tRNA from 1 species